AAAGCAAACCGCUCUGCCGCUCUGCCACCGGGCAGGGAGGAAAGUCCGGGCAACACAGGGUACCGCACUUCCUAACGGGAAGGUUCAUCAGGAGAAAUCCUGCUGAAACAGACAGUGCAACAGAAACAUACCGUCCGACUUUGGCGGAUAAGGGUGAAAUCGUGAGGUAAGAGCUCACGGCUUGCCGUUGCGAAACGGCAGGCGGGCAAACCUUGCGGGUUGAAAGGCCAAAUAAGUUGCGGAUGGGCAGUGUCCCGCUGCCGUUGGUUCACUCCAUGCCGUAACGGGUAGGCUGAUACAGGUGAGGCGCGAGCCCCAUCGCAGAUUAAUGGCAGAGGCGGUACCGGCAACGGUUCCGUACAGAACCCGGCUUACAGGUUUGCUUUUUUU
rnacentral:RNase_P_RNA from 1 species